GAUGAACGCUGGCGGCGUGCCUAAUACAUGCAAGUCGAGCGAACAGAUGAGGAGCUUGCUCCUCUGACGUUAGCGGCGGACGGGUGAGUAACACGUGGAUAACCUACCUAUAAGACUGGGAUAACUUCGGGAAACCGGAGCUAAUACCGGAUAAUAUAUUGAACCGCAUGGUUUAAUAGUGAAAGACGGUUUUGCUGUCACUUAUAGUUGGAUCCGCGCCGCAUUAGCUAGUUGGUAAGGUAACGGCAUACCAAGGCAACGAUGCGUAGCCGACCUGAGGGGGUGAUCGGCCACACUGGAACUGAGACACGGUCCAGACUCCUACGGGAGGCAGCAGUAGGGAAUCUUCCGCAAUGGGCGAAAGCCUGACGGAGCAACGCCGCGUGAGUGAUGAAGGUCUUCGGAUCGUAAAACUCUGUUAUUAGGGAGGAACAAAUGUGUAGGUAACUAUGCACGUCUUGACGGUACCUAAUCAGAAAGCCACGGCUAACUACGUG
rnacentral:rRNA from 1 species